GGUUCGGACUUGGGUAGCGAUCGA
rnacentral:siRNA from 1 species